rnacentral:tRNA from 1 species
GUCGGGAUAGCUCAGUUGGAAAAGUCCCUCUAUCGCCAAAAAAAGUCCAUUUCACUUUGAUU